rnacentral:rRNA from 1 species
UCGAUGGAUAGGGCUUCUGAGAGGAAGGUCCCCCACAUUGGAACUGAGACGCGGUCCAAACUCCUACGGGAGGCAGCAGUGAGGAAUAUUGGUCAAUGGGCGAGAGCCUGAACCAGCCAAGUAGCGUAAGAGGAUGACUGCCCUAUGGGUUGUAAACUUCUUUUAUAAAGGAAUAAAGUCGGGUAUGCAUACCCGUUUGCAUGUACUUUAUGAAUAAGGAUCGGCUAACUCCGUGCCAGCAGCCGCGGUAAUACGGAGGAUCCGAGCGUUAUCCGGAUUUAUUGGGUUUAAAGGGAGCGUAGAUGGAUGUUUCAAGUCAGUUGUGAAAGUCCAGCGGCUCAACCGUUAAAUUGCAGUUGAUACUGGAUAUCUUGAGUGCAGUUGAGGCAGGCGGAAUUCGUGGUGUAGCGGUGAAAUGCUUAGAUAUCACGAAGAACUCCGAUUGCGAAGGCAGCCUGCUAAGCUGCAACUGACAUUGAGGCUCGAAAGUGUGGGUAUCAAACAGG